UGUGAGGUUAAAGUAGAGAAAAGUUUGUUUAACGAACUAAAAAAAUUGGCAAUUAGAUUGGAUGAGAUAUAUGUUAGGACAAUGGAGAAGACUAAAGAGGUACAUUAAAGUUAAUUGAUUUUUUAUUAGUUUCUUAUUAUGUUUUUUAUAUAGUUUUUGGAUUUAUUUUGUAUUAUUUUCUAUUUUGAUUAUAUUAUAUUAUUUAUCAUUGAAUAUCAUUCUAUUUAUUUUCUCUGAUAUCUAAUCAAGUUUAAAGUAUGCAAAUAUCUAUAUUUCAAGAAAAAUUACUAAUUUAUUUGAUUAGAAAUUGCUUUAAGCAGUCAUAUUUUAUAGCGUUUAAAAUUUUUAUUUUUCUAAAUUGUUUAUGACUUUGUGAGAGACAACUUCUUCAGAGAAUUAAUUUGUGAUCUCAUCUAUUUCAUUAAUCAUGGUGCUCUACUUAUAUUUACUCAAUAUUAAAAACGUACUUCCAGAUACUAAUAUUGGGGUAGAUGUGAUAUAUAUGGGGAAAAUUUAUACUAAUGUUAUGCUAUUUACUAUUGAAAAAUAUACUUCCAGAUACUAAUAUUGGGGUAGAUGUGGUAUAUAUGGGAAAUUUAUACUAAUAUUGGGUAGACGUGGUAUAGAUGGGAAAAUUUUUGAGGAUUCAGAUAAGGAGACGAGUAAAGCACAUGGCAUGUGUGAGAGGUCAUGGGAUAACAUUCUGACUAAUUUCUUGGUUUCAUCUUGUAUUUUUUUUAUUGGUAUUGUAUUACAAAUAAGUGAGAUAGUGAAUUUUAGGUUUACAUAUUUAGUGGGUUGUGAAUCCCUAAUUUUAAGAAACAAAUUUGUUUUUUUAAGAUCUCUAACUUGCUAACCGAUAUGAGCAUAUAAAUUUACCUAUAUUUUUUGGGAUCUUUCUUUAUCUUUUGAGUCUUAUUUGGAAUUUUCUUUAAUAUCUUAUAUAAAUUUUAUCGAUAUCGUUUGGGGUGUUUCAUUUAUCAGCCUAUAAAUUUUACCGAUAUCGUUUUGGGUGUUUCAUUUAUACUAUUUGGAAUUUUUUUAAUAUCUCUAACUGGUCCACUGCUUUUUAUGUUAUCAAUGAUUUUUAUUUGGAAUCAUAUUUAGAAUUUUUUUAAUAUCUCUAGCUUGUCCACUGCGGUUUACGUUAUCUAUGAGUUCUAUUUGGAAUCUUAUUUAGAAUUUUUUUUAAUAUCUCUAACUUGCCAACAGAUAUGAGCUGCAAUUUUUUUUUAAUAUCUCUCGCAAAAUAUGAGCACAUAUGAGCAUAUAAAUGUUAACUAUAUCUUUUGGGUGUUUCGUAGAGGGAUGUUUUUGAAAAGGAUAAAAUUUAGAAAGUACAACAAAAAAUAGUUAAAAACGUAUAACUUUAGAGAGGGAAAAUGAUAAAAUUUAGAAAGUACUGAAAAAAAAAAUUAGAUAAAAACUUUUAGGGCAUCAAAGAGAGAAAAUUGUAUAGAGAAUAAAGCUUAGUGGGAGAUUGAGUUAUGUGUGUCUAGUUCUUUCAAGUACCUUUAAUUUUUUUUCUUUAAUAGUUCUAUCAAGUAAGUGCCAUGUGAUUUUUUUUUUUUAAUAGUGAAAAACAUCGAUUGUCUUUACUCGUGAAUUUUUUUUUUUUUAAUAGUGCAAAACAUUGAUUGUUUUCAUCCAUAGAUGUAGUCGAACACGUAAAUACUAGUGUUUUUUUUUCUGUUAUUUAUUUUCUGUUUUAUUUUUCGUGCUUCUUGCUUGUUUUAUUUUUCUCGUACUGUAUUUGUCAAAAAUGAACCCAUCUUACAUUUAGUUUAAAAGACAAUGAGCUCAUUCUCUAGGAUUUUCUAUUAGAAUACUUUAAAUCUCCAUUGUCUUUGCAAUAAUUGGAAUAAGGGAUGUUUUCGUCUCGAUUAUAACACUUCGAAAAUCAUUGUUUUGUUGAUCAGAAUAUAUAGAAUGGGUUCCCGACAUCACUAGCUCAAAAGACCAUUUAUGUAAUAAGGCAAUGGAAGGUGAGAGGUUCCGGCCAGACGAAACAAAGGCAACUAGAGAAUGCAGAGUGAGAAAAAGAAAAGGCAAACAAAAAAAAUGUGGAAAGAAUAAUACAGAAAGAGAGAAAAUAAAUGGAAAGAGAGAAGACAUAAAUGUAAAGAGAGAAUGUAAAAAAUAACUACAAAAAGACAUAAAUGCAAAAGGCAACUCGAGAAUGCGGAGUGAGAAAAAAAAAAGGCAAACAAAAAUAGGUGGAGAUAACAAUGCAGAAAGAGAGAAAAUAAAUGCAAAAAGAGAAGUCGUAAACGCAAAGAGGGAAUGUAAAAACUAAAGGCAAAGAGAGAAGGCAUAAAUACAAAGAGAGAACGUAAAAAAGAGAAAAUGGAUGGAACCAAGUUGUACCAAAACCUACCACUAAACGAAAGUUAUCAUCUAAAUUCAAAUUGCAUACUCUAUCACUUUUUCAUAUUUUUAAAUACAUUUUUAAAUACAUAUUAACUUUGUGUAUCACUUCUUUCUUUUCACGAUUUUUUAUAGCUUAUGAGAACUUUUUCAUUCCAAUUUUAAAAAUUAUUUUUAAUUGGGAC
rnacentral:lncRNA from 1 species